rnacentral:tRNA from 1 species
GACCCUGUGGCGCAAGGGUAGCGCUUCUGACUCCAAGUCAGGCGGUUGCGUGUUCGAGUCACGCCAGGGUCA